UACGUAGGCGGAAAAUUAAGUCAGUAGUGAAAUCCUGCAGCUUAACUGUAGAACUGUUAUUGAUACUGGUUUUCUUGAAUACAGUUGAGGUAGGCGGAAUGUGUAAUGUAGCGGUGAAAUGCUUAGAUAUUACACAGAACACCGAUUGCGAAGGCAGCUUACUAAACUGUUAUUGACGCUGUGGUACGAAAGCGUGGGGAGCGAACAGGAUUAGAUACCCUGGUAGUCC
rnacentral:rRNA from 1 species